UACGGAAGGGGCAAGCGUUGUUCGGAAUCAUUGGGCGUAAAGGGCGCGUAGGCGGCCCGCACAAGUCUGCGGUGAAAACCUCCGGCUUAACCGGGGGCCGGCCGUGGAAACUGUCGGGCUGGAGGCUGGGAGAGGGCAGCGGAAUUCCCGGUGUAGCGGUGAAAUGCGUAGAGAUCGGGAGGAACACCGGUGGCGAAGGCGGUUCUCUGGGCAUGUCCUGACGCUGAGGAGCGAAAGUGUGGGGAGCGAACAGG
rnacentral:rRNA from 1 species